AACGCACGAGACCUGCGGACCUGCGGAAGGAUCAUUACCGAGUUUACAACUCCCAAACCCAAUGUGAACGUUACCAAACUGUUGCCUCGGCGGGAUCUCUGCCCCGGGUGCGUCGCAGCCCCGGACCAAGGCGCCCGCCGGAGGACCAACCAAAAACUCUUUUUGUAUACCCCCUCGCGGGUUUUUUAUAUCUGAGCCUUUCUCGGCGCCCCUUCGUGGGCGUUUCGAAAAUGAAUCAAA
rnacentral:misc_RNA from 1 species